rnacentral:lncRNA from 1 species
CUGAAACAUUGUUAGUCAACUAGACUUCAAUAAAAUAUAUAUAUAUAUAUGUAUUUAAAAAAGAAGAAGAGAGAGGGCUAAGGAAGUGCCACACAGCAGACCCAGCUGACAGCCCCAUGGAGCUGCUUGGAAAAAACAGACUGGUUACCAUGACUUUGUGGGUAAGUUAGUGAUAGGUGGGCAAGGCCUGUAUUAGCUGCACCUUUGUGGGGCCCAGAAGUCCAGUGACUCGGGGUGAUGACUGCGACCAGUUAAGGCUGUCCCUCCUUGGACUCUGUGGCUGUGGAGAAGCUGGGGACCCCGUUGAAUCCCCACGGAGACUGGGCCGUAAGAACAUUCAUUCAUUCAUUCACUCAUUCAUUUGUCCCGUCAGAUAUUAAUUCGGUGCUCUCCUUCUGCCCCGUCCUUCAAGAGGUGCUGAACUUGCCUGAAGCUUGGUCUGCUGGCGUGAGAACAAACCUCGUAAUGCAGAGGACGAACAAACGAUCCUUCAGGAAUUCCAUCUGAGAGCAGUGUUGUGCAGGAAUUCAUAAAGGGAAAGGACGAGCCUAUGUUGACGCUGGAGCAGGCUCCCAGGGACAGGAAAACCUCAUGCCCUCAAGUACCACCAUGUGAUUGAGAGCCUUGCGCAGUGAGGUUAAGGAGCCUCCACAGAGGUAAGGAGUCAACCUAAAAUGUACCCCAUAAAGCAGGCCUGUAGGUUUGAGUGUUGUCAAAAGCCAUGAAACUGUCCUCAAAAACAAUUCU